GCAGUCGAACGGUGAAGGGGAGCUUGCUCCCCGGAUCAGUGGCGAACGGGUGAGUAACACGUGGGCAAUCUGCCCCUGACUUCGGGAUAACUCCUCGAAAGAGGUGCUAAUACCGAAUAUGAACCUUGCAGGCAUCUGCAGGGUUGGAAAGUUUUUCGGUCAGGGAUGGGUCCGCGGCCUAUCAGCUAGUUGGUGAGGUAAUGGCUCACCAAGGCGACGACGGGUAGCCGGCCUGAGAGGGCGACCGGCCACACUGGGACUGAGACACGGCCCAGACUCCUACGGGAGGCAGCAGUGGGGAAUAUUGCGCAAUGGGCGAAAGCCUGACGCAGCAACGCCGCGUGAGGGAUGAAGGCCUUCGGGUUGUAAACCUCUUUCAGCAGGGAAGAAGCGAAAGUGACGGUACCUGCAGAAGAAGCGCCGGCUAACUACGUGCCAGCAGCCGCGGUAAUACGUAGGGUGCAAGCGUUGUCCGGAUUUAUUGGGCGUAAAGAGCUCGUAGGCGGUUUGUUACGUCGGAUGUGAAAUCCUGGAGCUUAACUCCGGGCCUGCAUUCGAUACGGGCAGACUAGAGUGUUGUAGGGGAGACUGGAAUUCCUGGUGUAGCGGUGAAAUGCGCAGAUAUCAGGAGGAACACCGGUGGCGAAGGCGGGUCUCUGGGCAGUAACUGACGCUGAGGAGCGAAAGCGUGGGGAGCAAA
rnacentral:rRNA from 1 species